AGCCUCGAUCCCAGGCCGAUCCGUCUCUAAUUGAACGCUAGGUCGCCUCCUCGGCCUGGUAUUGAUUGUAUCUGGGCGUGUAUCUGGGCAUGUGCUGUGGUUGCUGUGGUUGCUCAGGUAUUCGCUAAAAAAGAGCGAAUACCUGAGCAAGGUGGAGCGAAUAGAACACUAAUAGUGUAUGUAAGCAUACUUACUCCGUAAAAUCACCGUUAAAUCACAAAGAACUCCGUGUCAUAGGUCUAUUCUUUGCAAGUUUAGUUUGUCAUAGAUAUAGGCUUAGCUAGCUAGAGUGUGAGGAGCUGUCUUGUGCGAAGGAAGAAGGAGCAUCACUCUUGUGAAAGAACAGACCUAGGUUCUCAAGUUUCUGCUAUCAGUGGCUACCUUUGAUUGACUACACAAUUUAAUACAAGCGCUUGAUUAGACCAUUGAUUGCCAGAUACACUUGGUAGAGUCUAUCCUCAGACUCUGGCCAUCGAUCUCUUGCAUACUAUGCUCAGGGUGUCCACAAGUGGCUGGGCCUGGGAUGUAUUGUCAAGCCUAUAGCCCAAUCCUUGGUAUCUGGAUCAAGAUAUGACAUUACGGCACUGGCACUGGUGUUGUGUUAGCCUCCUUCACCGGCCUUCAAGGAAGUGCGGCCUGGGAUCGUGGCUAGUUUGUGUGGACCAUCACUGAGCAAAAUGGAACCUUCCCCUCCAACCCCCGUCGUACUCCUCCUAGCUGAUGGGUGUGAACUCAUUGAAAGAGGAUGCCCCAGUGCCACUCGUGUCCUUCCCAAGGGUCCGAUCUGAUAGAACUACCUGCACUAAAACUACUGACGUGGAAUGGCUCUUUCAACACUUGUGGUUGCUAUCCUGACCAGUGACGUCAGGAUUCUACUGUCUCUUGAUGCACUGUGAACACACAAUCUUUGUUAUGCCACCUGAAGGCUUAG